rnacentral:rRNA from 1 species
CGUCUAGGCGGGAAAUUAAGUUGGGUGUGAAAUCCAUGGGCUUAACUCGUGAAUUGCAUCCAAAACUGAUUUUCUUGAGUUCGGGAGAGGAGAGCGGAAUUCUAGGUGUAGCGGUGAAAUGCGUAGAUAUCUAGAAGAACACCAGUGGCGAAGGCGGCUCUCUGGCCUAGAACUGACGCUGAAGCGCGAAAGCGUGGGUAGCGAACG